rnacentral:lncRNA from 1 species
AAGCUGCAUCUGCCUUUCUGUUUCUCCAAGUUAAGGUCGGUCUUCAUGGAUGGAUGGGCUUUGUUUGAUGAAGACCAUUCUCUAAGGCAAGAGUGAGGGUCCUUCAGGCUCCUUUGCUUCCCUCUAACUUACGGCACCUUUCUUGAGUGGUUUGACUGAAGGCGCAGACACUUUCUGGGGUGAAAAAGCACAGGUCUUCCUGAAGUGAAUCCUGCAAUGGACUGACCUCAUCUUCCCGAGGCUGUGAUGUUUCAGGAGAGUUUCACUAUUGCUGACCAACUGAGACCACCAGAAGCUCCUAAGUGCAAAGAAUGGCUACAUCUUUUCUUCUGGAUACCACCAGAUCAUUCCAGCCACCUGCCUUUGUGGUGUCUCCAGACAAGGACUGACAACCAUCGAAGCAUCGAAACCCUAAGGCUACUUGGAGAGAAGAAGAAUGUCCCUGGAGAAGAGUCCUUCCUUGCCAUCUGGAUCUCCUAG